AGAGUUUGAUCCUGGCUCAGAACGAACACUGGCGGCGUGGAUUAGGCAUGCAAGUCGAGCGGGAUUACCUUUUUUCAAUUCUUCGGAAGAGAAGUUUGGUAUGAGAGCGGCGAACGGGUGAGUAAUAUAUGGGUAAUUUGCCUUGGAGCUCGGGAUAGCCAUCCGAAAGGGUGGGUAAUACCGAAUGUGCUCGGGUACCGCAUGGUACCUUAUGUAAAGGUGGGGAUCUUCGGACCUGCCACUCCUAGAUAGGCCCAUAUCCUAUCAGCUUGUUGGUAAGGUAAUGGCUUACCAAGGCUUACGGGUAGCCGACCUGAGAGGGUGACCGGCCACACUGGGACUGAGACACUGCCCAGACUCCUACGGGAGGCUGCAGUCGAGAAUCAUUGUCAAUGCACGAAAGUGUGAACAUGCGACGCCGCGUGGAGGACGACGGCCUUCGGGUUGUAAACUCCUGUCCUGAGGGAGUAAUUGUACGACGGUUAAUACCUGUUGUAUUUGAUAGUACCUCAGAAGAAAGUCACGGCUAACUCUGUGCCAGCAGCCGCGGUAAUACAGAGGUGGCAAGUGUUGUUCGGAUUUACUGGGCGUAAAGGGUCCGCAGGCGGUCCUGUGUGUCGGAUGUGAAAGCUCACGGCUUAACCGUGGAAUUGCAUUCGAAACUACAGGACUAGAGUACAGGAGGGGAGCAGGGAAUUCAUGGUGUAGCGGUGAAAUGCGUAGAUAUCAUGAAGAACACCGGUGGCGAAGGCGCUGCUCUGGACUGAUACUGACGCUCAUGGACGAAAGCUGGGGUAGCGAAGAGGAUUAGAUACCCUCGUAGUCCCAGCCGUAAACGGUGUGCACUUGUUGUUGGAGGUUUACCCCCUUCAGUGACGGAGCUAACGCGUUAAGUGCACCGCCUGGGAAGUACGGCCGCAAGGUUAAAACUCAAAGGAAUUGACGGGGGCCCGCACAAGCGGUGGAGCAUGUGGCUUAAUUCGAUGCAACGCGAAGAACCUUACUAGGGCUUGACAUGUGACUGCAUAUGACCCGAAAGGGACAUAGCCUUCGAGGGUGUCACACAGGUGCUGCAUGGCUGUCGUC
rnacentral:rRNA from 1 species